GUAAAUGUGGAAUAUAGUCACCUCCAAGUCCAAUUCACCCCAGCUGAAACACUAAAGUUACUAAUCUUCUGUUUUCAAAUUCUUUCUGCUUGAAAUAUUCCUUGCAUUUCACUGGGCAGACAGGUUCAACAAAAGCAGGAGGUAAAACUCAGCACAACUACCCUCGUUUAAGAAGUGAAUGCAGUGCCUUCUUAGAAAGCAAGGAAGAAGACUGUUCUUUACCUCUUGGUAAUUUUUGGAAAAACUUUACAGGGUGAUGAAGUGGCCUUGAGCAGCUUUGGAAAGUGAGAGGCAUCCUAGAUGCCCAACUGCCUUGUUCUUGUGGCAGGCCUUAGCAAACCUGAAAAGAAAGAGGCCAGGCAUGCAGGCUCAGUUAACAAUGGCCCUGGGACAGGAUACAGUGAGCAGGAGCUGGGCUUGUUUCAGCCCAGAAACAUGGCUGGAGACACAGACAGAGAGCUGUAUUUGUAUUUUCAGACACUGUAACUCUAAGGAAAAAAAACCCACUAAAUUACCAGUCAGAAGUGUGCAUUAAAAAAUAAAGAGCAUCCUUGUAGAGCAAAUGUGUUACUAAUAAUUAUUCUUUAACAUUGACUGCAGUAUAUAACUUCAGUAUUGAAAAAUAAAGAGGUGAAAAAUCUCUCACAUUUCUCCUCAGAACUGUACCUUAAUGGUGCUGCUGCCACCCACUACAGGGAAAGCCACUUGUGCAGUCACAGCAGCAGAAGCCUGUCACUAUGUGCAUUUAUGUAGAAGUAAAUAUUGGUCUUUGGGCACAAAUGAAAUAAAGGAUCAUUUCUCUCCAACUUGUUAGGAAUUGUUGACAGAAGUGACAUCACAAGAAAAAAUGUGUAAACUGAAAUAAACAUACCAGCUGCCAGGUUAGAGGAUAAGAGACUGGUGUCCACCCACAAAGAAGGAUGGGGACAAGGGCAGGUCCCCACUGCUCCCCUCAGCCUAGCAGUCAGAGCAACUCCUGCAGCAGUGAAGACUUUUUCCAGUUCAACUGGUUGCUGUAGAACCACAUCAAAAUUAUCAUUUCCAGCAUGGCCAGUACUGAGAGUUUCCUGGGUACUGCUGCAUUCAUUUUAGGAGCAAAGAGAGUUUAACCUUCCUCUGGACCUUGUCCUCUAGUUCCAACAUUGGUGCUGCCUCUCUGGCCUCUGACUUGCCUAGUGAUGUGAUCAUGCAACAUUUCUCAACCCAAUGGCCAAAAGAGUGCUUGUGCAGCUAAUUUUUUUCCUAAGUUUUGGUCAAAACACAAUCAAAUAAUCAUUGCUGUUCUUCCAGACUUUUCCACAAUAUGCUCCCACCACACUGGCAAAAAUUGAGUUACACCUGCCUAUCAGUGAUCCAUGACUUUAUGAUGCCAAACUCAUCACUUAUCAGGUUUCCCGUGGGUCACAGAGUCCAUCCUUGCUCACAGCUGAAAUGCUGCCUGCACACUACAUCCAGUUACAGCACCUGCACCAGCAGGGCACAGGGUGAGAAGCCUUCCAUGUUUUAACAAAAGCAAGGAUUCUGAGACCUGCACAACAGGAAUCCUGGUGUCCAGAGAGCAAAACACCUAGUCCAGGGCUGCAAGUAGCA